GACGAACGCUGGCGGCGUGCUUAACACAUGCAAGUCGAGCGAUGAAGUUCCUUCGGGAAUGGAUUAGCGGCGGACGGGUGAGUAACACGUGGGUAACCUGCCUCAUAGAGGGGAAUAGCCUUCCGAAAGGAAGAUUAAUACCGCAUAAGAUUGUAGCUUCGCAUGAAGUAGCAAUUAAAGGAGUAAUCCGCUAUGAGAUGGACCCGCGUCGCAUUAGCUAGUUGGUGAGGUAACGGCUCACCAAGGCGAUGAUCGAUAGCUGGUCUGAGAGGAUGAUCAGCCACACGGGAACUGAGACACGGUCCCGACUCCUACGGGGGGCAGCAGUGAGGAAUAUUGCACAAUGGGGGAAACCCUGAUGCAGCAACGCCGCGUGGAGGAUGAAGGCCCUUGGGUUGUAAACUCCUUUUCUGUGGGACGAGAGAGGACGGUACCACAGGAAUAAGUCACGGCUAACUACGUGCCAGCCGCCGCGGUAAGAC
rnacentral:rRNA from 1 species